GUAAGGAAUAUUGCGCAAUGGAGGCAACUCUGACGCAGCCAUGCCGCGUGCAGGAAGAAGGCGCUACGCGUUGUAAACUGCUUUUAACCGGGAAGAAACCCCGGGACGUGUCCUGGGUUGACGGUACCGGAGGAAUAAGCACCGGCUAACUUCGUGCCAGCAGCCGCGGUAAUACGAAGGGUGCAAGCGUUAUCCGGAUUCAUUGGGUUUAAAGGGUGCGUAGGCGGAGCGUUAAGUCAGUGGUGAAAUCCUGCAGCUUAACUGUAGACUUGCCAUUGAUACUGGCGCUCUUGAGUGCGCUUGAAGUGGGCGGAAUGUGCCGUGUAGCGGUGAAAUGCUUAGAUAUGGCACAGAACACCAAUUGCGAAGGCAGCUCACUACGGCGAUACUGACGCUGAGGCACGAAAGCGUGGGGAUCGAACAGGAUUAGAAACCCGGGUAGUCC
rnacentral:rRNA from 1 species